rnacentral:rRNA from 1 species
AGCGAACGCUGGCGGCAGGCUUAACACAUGCAAGUCGAGCGGGCACUUUCGGGUGUCAGCGGCGGACGGGUGAGUAACGCGUGGGAACGUGCCCUCUGGUUCGGAAUAACUCAGGGAAACUUGAGCUAAUACCGGAUACGCCCUUUUGGGGAAAGGCUUGCUGCCGGAGGAUCGGCCCGCGUCUGAUUAGCUAGUUGGUGAGGUAACGGCUCACCAAGGCGACGAUCAGGAGCUGGUCUGAGAGGAUGAUCAGCCACACUGGGACUGAGACACGGCCCAGACUCCUACGGGAGGCAGCAGUGGGGAAUACUGGACAAGGGGCGCAAGCCUGAUCCAGCCAUGCCGCGUGAGUGAUGAAGGCCUUAGGGUUGUAAAGCUCUUUUAGACGGGACGAUAAUGACGGUACCGGAGGAAUAAGCCCCGGCUAACUUCGUG